GCCCCGGUCGUCCAACCUGGAUAGGACGCGAGCCUCCGAAGUUCGCGAUCUGGGUUCAAAUCCCAGCUAGGGCG
rnacentral:tRNA from 1 species